rnacentral:rRNA from 1 species
GAUGAACGCUGGCGGCGUGCUUAACACAUGCAAGUCGAGCGAAGCAGUUAAGAAGAUUCUUCGGAUGAUUCUUAACCGACUGAGCGGCGGACGGGUGAGUAACGCGUGGGUGACCUGCCCCAUACCGGGGGAUAACAGCUGGAAACGGCUGCUAAUACCGCAUAAGCGCACAGAGCUGCAUGGCUCGGUGUGAAAGACUCCGGUGGUAUGGGAUGGGCCCGCGUCUGAUUAGGCAGUUGGCGGGGUAACGGCCCACCAAACCGACGAUCAGUAGCCGGCCUGAGAGGGCGACCGGCCACAUUGGGACUGAGACACGGCCCAAACUCCUACGGGAGGCAGCAGUGGGGAAUAUUGCACAAUGGGGGAAACCCUGAUGCAGCGACGCCGCGUGAGCGAAGAAGUAUUUCGGUAUGUAAAGCUCUAUCAGCAGGGAAGAUAAUGACGGUAC